ACCUCGCUGGCUCAGUCAGUAGAGCAUGUGACUCUGCAUCUCAGGGUCAUGAGUUCAAGCCCCAUGUCGGGUG
rnacentral:tRNA from 1 species